AGAAAGGCUUACGGUAGAUACCUAGGCACCCAGAGACGAGAAAGGGCGUAGUAAUCAAUGAAAUACUUCGAGGAGUUAAAAAUAAGCAUAGAUCCGGAGAUUCCCGAAUAGGGCAACCUUUUGAACUGCUGUUGAAUCCAUAGGCAGGAAAGAGACAACCUGGAGAAUUGAAACAUCUUAGUAGCCAGAGGAAAACAAAGCAAAAAUGAUUCCCAUAGUAGCAGUGAAUGAAAUGGGAGCAGCCUAAAUCGUGAAAACGGGGUAGUAGGAUAGCAAUACAAGUGUUGUGCUGCUAGGCGAAGCAACUUGAAUGUUGCAACCUAGAUGGCAAAAUUUCAGUAGCCGAAAGCAUCACUAACUUACGCUCUAACCUGAAUAGCAUAGGGCACGUAGAAUAUUGUGUGAAUCAGCAAGGACCACCUUGCAAGGUUAAAUACUACUGGGUGACCAAUAGCAAAUUAGUACCGUGAGGGAAGGGUGAAAAGAACCCCCAUCAGUGAGUGAAAUAUAACAUAAAACUGUAAGCUCCCAAGCAGUGGGAGGAGCCAAGGCUCUGACCGCGUGCCUAUUGAAGAAUGAGCCAGUGACUCAUAGGCAGUAUCUUGGUUAAGGGAACCCACCAGAGCCGUAGCGAAAGUGAGUCUUCAUAGGGUAAUUGUCACUUCUUAUGGACCCAAAAUUGGGUGAUCUAUCCAUGACCAAGAUGAAUCUUGCGUGAAACUAAGUGGAGGUCCGAACCGAUCGAUGUUGAAGAAUCAGCGGAUAAGUUGUGGUUAGGAGUGAAAUGCCACUCGAACCCAGAGCUAGCUAGUUCUCCCCAAAAUGCAUUGAGGUACAGCAGUUGACUGGACAUCUAAGGGUAAAGAGCUAUUUUGGUGUGGGCCGCAGGAGUGGUACCAAAUCGAGGCAAACUCUGAAUACUAAGUAUGGCCUUAAAAUUAAAAAAGAGGGAUCAAAGUCAGCUAGUGAGAUGAUAGGGGAUAAGCUUCAUCGUUGAGAGGUAAACAACCCAGAUCACUAGCUAAGGCCCCUAAAUGGCUGCUUAGUGAUAAAGAAGGUAGGGGUGUGGAAACAGCCAGGAGGUUUGCCUAGAAGCAGUCAUCCUUGAAAGAGUGCGUAAUAGCUUACUGAUCGAGCGCUCUUGCACCAAAGAUGAACAGGGUUAAGCGAUCUGCCGAAGCUGUAGGGUGUAAAAAUACAUCGGUAGAGGAGCAUUCAGCCUUAGAGGAAAACCUCCGCGUGAGCGUUGGUGGAUGAAGCCGAAGAGAGAAUUUUGGCUUGAGUAAUGCAAACAUUGGUCAGAAUCCAAUGCCCCAAAAACGUAAGGUUUCCUCCGCAAGGUUCAUCCAUGGAGGGUAAGUCAGGGCCUAAGAUCUGGCCGAAAGGCGUAGUCGAUGGAAAAUAGGUGAAUGUUCCUGUACUACCCCUUGUUGGUCCCGAGGGACGAAGGAGGCUAGGUUAGCCGAAAGAUGGUUAUCGGUUCAAGAACGUAAGGUGUCCCUGCCUUUUCUUCAGGGUAAGAAAGGCUAGAGAAAAUUCCUCAAGCCAAUGUUCGAAUAUUGGGAGCUACGGCGCUGAAGUAACCCAUACCAUACUCCUACAAAAAGCUCAAACGACUUUGAGCAAAAGGGUACCUAUACUCGAAACCGAAAUAGGUGGGUAGGUACAGAAUACCUAGGGGCGCGAGACAACUCUCUCUAAGGAACUCGGCAAAAUAGCCCCAUAACUUUGCGAGAAGAGGUUCCUCUUCACAUCAUAAAGGGGUCACAGUGACCAGGCUCGGGCAACUAUUUACCAAAAGCACAGGUCUCCACACAGUCAUAAGACCAUGUAUGGGGGCUGACGCUUGCCCAGUGCUGGAAGGUCAACGAAGUUGGUGACCUAAUGAUAGGGGAGCCAAAAAUUAAAGCCUUGGUGAAUGGCAACCAUAACUAUAACGGUCCUAAGAUAGCAAAAUUCCUUGUCGGGUAAGUUCUGACCCGUACAAAAGGCGUAACGAUCUAGGCACUGUAUCGGAGAGAGGCUUGGUGAAAUAGACAUGUCUGUGAAGAUACAGACUACCUGCUCCUGGAAAGAAAGACCCUAUGAAGUUUCACUAUUCCCUAGGAUUGGCUUUGGGCCUUUCCUAUGCAGCUUAGGUGGCAGGCGAAGAAGGCCUUCUUUCGGAGGACCGAUCCAUCAGUGAGAUACCACUCUAGAAGGGAUAGAAUUAUAACCUUAUGUCAGGACCUACGGGCCAUAGGACAGUCUCAGGUAGACAGUUUCUAUGGGGUGUAGUCCUCCCAAAAGGUAAUGGAUACGUGCAAAGGUUUCCUCAGGCCGGACAGAGAUUGGCCCUCGAGUGCAAAGGCAGAUGGGAGCUUGACUGCAAGACCCACCCGUCGAGCAGGGNGCAAAGGUUUCCUCGGGCCGGACGGAGAUUGGCCUUCGAGUGCAAAGGUAGAAGGGAGCUUGACUACAAGACCCACCCGACGAGCAGGGAUGAAAGUCGGCCUUAGUGAUCCGACGGUACCUAGUGGAAGGGCUGUUGCUCAAUAGAUAAAAGUUACUCUAGGGAUAACAGGCUGAUCUUCCCCAAGAGCUAACAUCGAUGGGAAUAUUUGGCACCUCGAUGUCGGCUCUUCACCACCUGGGGCUGUAGUAUGUUCCAAGGGUUGAGCUGUUCACCCAUUAAAGCGGUAUGUGAGCUGGGUUUAGAACAUCGUGAGAUAGUUCAGUCUAUAUCCAGUAUAGGCAUUAGAGCAUUGAGAGGACCUUUCCCAAGUACGAGAGGACCAGGAAGGAUGCACCUCUGGUGUACCAGUUAUCGUGCCUAUGGUAAACGCUGGGUAGCCAAGUACGGAGCGGAUAACUGCUGAAAGUAUCUAAGUAGUAAGCCCACCCCAAGAUGAGUGCUCUCCUAUUCCGACUUUUCCAAAGCUUUCGGUAGCAUAGCCGAGACAGCGAUGGGUUCUCUGCCCCUGCGGGGAUAGAGCGACAAAAGCUUUUUUGAGAAUUCAAGAAAAUUUCAUGGCGAGACGAGCCAUUUAUCAUUACAAUAGGUAUCAAGUGGAAGUGCAGUGA
rnacentral:rRNA from 1 species